UACGAAGGGUGCAAGCGUUACUCGGAAUCACUGGGCGUAAAGCGUGCGUAGGCGGUUUCUUAAGUCUGUCGUGAAAGCCCUGGGCUCAACCUGGGAAUGGCGAUGGAUACUGGGAGGCUAGAGUGUGAUAGAGGAUGGUGGAAUUCCCGGUGUAGCGGUGAAAUGCGUAGAGAUCGGGAGGAACACCAGUGGCGAAGGCGGCCCAUCUGGAUCAACA
rnacentral:rRNA from 1 species